rnacentral:hammerhead_ribozyme from 1 species
AUCCAGAUGACGAGUUCCGGACGGGACGAAACGCGCGUCUUGGAU